UGCAGUGGGUACGGGCAGACUAGAGUGCGGUAGGGGAGAAUGGAACUCCUGGUGUAGCGGUGGAAUGCGCAGAUAUCAGGAAGAACACCGAUGGCGAAGGCAGUUCUCUGGGCCGUAACUGACGCUGAGGAGCGAAAGCGUGGGGAGCGAACAGGAUUAGAUACCCUGGUAGUCCACGCCGUAAACGUUGGGCGCUAGAUGUGGGGACCAUUCCACGGUUUCCGUGUCGCAGCUAACGCAUUAAGCGCCCCGCCUGGGGAGUACGGCCGCAAGGCUAAAACUCAAAGGAAUUGACGGGGGCCCGCACAAGCGGCGGAGCAUGCGGAUUAAUUCGAUGCAACGCGAAGAACCUUACCAAGGCUUGACAUACACGAGAACGGGCCAGAAAUGGUCAACUCUUUGGACACUCGUGAACAGGUGGUGCAUGGUUGUCGUCAGCUCGUGUCGUGAGAUGUUGGGUUAAGUCCCGCAACGAGCGCAACCCUCGUUCUAUGUUGCCAGCACGUGAUGGUGGGAACUCAUAGGAGACUGCCGGGGUCAACUCGGAGGAAGGUGGGGAUGACGUCAAAUCAUCAUGCCCCUUAUGUCUUGGGCUUCACGCAUGCUACAAUGGCCGGUACAAAGGGCUGCGAUACCGUAAGGUGGAGCGAAUCCCAAAAAGCCGGUCUCAGUUCGGAUUGAGGUCUGCAACUCGACCUCAUGAAGUCGGAGUCGCUAGUAAUCGCAGAUCAGCAACGCU
rnacentral:rRNA from 1 species